UUACUUUCCAGACCCUUCUCCAAACCCUUCCCCUUCAUCUUCCUCUCUAAAGUUGCUCACCUGACUGUUUAAGUCGAAAAUGAACGACACUCCAGAAAGAGGGGAAAAAAAGAAAAGAAUGAUCUACUGUUACAGACCACAAGACACAACAACAAACAGUUUGCCUAUAUUUGCGACACCUGUAAGCAUAUGGCAUGUUAAAGAAGUACUGCUCAUGCUUCUGAUGCAACUCAUUCCGACUAUGGUUAAAUUGGUAGACUGGUCAACCUUCUUUAUCCUUACCACUUCCUUCAGACGCUUUGGGGCCAUCAUAAGCAUAUGAGAGGAAAGUACCCUGGUUUUUCUGCAAAAACCUGCAACAAAAGCAUACACAAAAUAAAGGCUCAUCGCAAAAUAAUACAUCAAUACAAUAGGUGUUUCCUGAAUCCAUGUCAUCUUGGAAACACUACAGCCCUGCCAGGAAAACUACAAUGGAAUUCAUUAAUGUUGCUGUUGAACUGGUUCUUACAGAAGGCAGAAACAAAGGAUAUCUUUUAUUCCUUUUUUAUUUUUCAUCAGUUACAAUAACAAAAGCACUUCCCUUCUGUUGAUCAUUUAUAACAUAUCUAAUGCAAUUCCUUUUCAGGCACAUUACCGUACUAAUGAAAAAGUCGGGCUAACCUAAUAUUCAGAAGUUACAGAAAGAGCUUAUAUUAUUGAAUAUCUUCUUUUUUUUUUUUUGACAAGGUUAAUAUCUUUUUUUGAAUAUCUUAAGCUUAAUAUGUUUUCCUUGAAAAUUGUCAGGGAAGUUAACAAUCCAAUGUAAGCUAGUGAAAUUUCUGCCUUGGUGCUUUCUAGAAGAGAAUGGAGAAUCAUGUGAUUAGACCAAUAAAUAACGAUUGAGUUUGGAGAAGGGUCUGGAAAGUAACGAUUGAGUAAAUAAAUACCUGGGGGUCGGGGCGGGUUAUUUGGCUUCGGAUCGGUCGGGUGGCAAGACUUCAAUGGGUGGGUUAAUAUGAACCAAU
rnacentral:lncRNA from 1 species